rnacentral:sRNA from 1 species
AAAACAAUAAUUAAUACCAAAGACAGUAGGUGAGAUAUUCUCGUAAAUCCUACCGAGGUAGAGAAUAUAAUAAACUAAAAAAGUUUUAAUUUAUAUCCUACCUCGUAAGAUAUUGGUUAAAACUUUUAUUUUUU